rnacentral:rRNA from 1 species
UACGGAGGGGGUUAGCGUUGUUCGGAAUUACUGGGCGUAAAGCGCGCGUAGGCGGAUUAGCAAGUUAGAGGUGAAAUCCCGGGGCUCAACCCCGGAACUGCCUUUAAAACUGUUAGUCUUGAGUUCGAGAGAGGUGAGUGGAAUUCCGAGUGUAGAGGUGAAAUUCGUAGAUAUUCGGAGGAACACCAGUGGCGAAGGCGGCUCACUGGCUCGAUACUGACGCUGAGGUGCGAAAGUGUGGGGAGCAAAC